GAUGAACGCUGGCGGCGUGCCUAAUACAUGCAAGUCGAGCGAACAGAUGAGGAGCUUGCUCCUCUGACGUUAGCGGCGGACGGGUGAGUAACACGUGGAUAACCUACCUAUAAGACUGGGAUAACUUCGGGAAACCGGAGCUAAUACCGGAUAAUAUAUUGAACCGCAUGGUUCAAUAGUGAAAGACGGUUUUGCUGUCACUUAUAGAUGGAUCCGCGCCGCAUUAGCUAGUUGGUAAGGUAACGGCUUACCAGGGCAACGAUGCGUAGCCGACCUGAGAGGGUGAUCGGCCACACUGGAACUGGGACACGGUCCAGACUCCUACGGGAGGCAGCAGUAGGGAAUCUUCCGCAAUGGGCGAAAGCCUGACGGAGCAACGCCGCGUGAGUGAUGAAGGUCUUCGGAUCGUAAAACUCUGUUAUUAGGGAAGAACAAAUGUGUAAGUAACUAUGCACGUCUUGACGGUACCUAAUCAGAAAGCCACGGCUAACUACGUG
rnacentral:rRNA from 1 species